UGAGCAAUCUGCCCUUCUCAUCGGAAUAAGCGUUGGAAACGACGUCUAAUGCCGAAUACGACCUCCUUUCGCAUGAUCGGAGNAGANCGCGNGAGA
rnacentral:rRNA from 1 species